GACAGAGGGUGCAAACGUUGUUCGGAAUUACUGGGCGUAAAGCGUGUGUAGGCGGCUAUGUAAGUCGGAUGUGAAAGCCCCGGGCUCAACUCGGGAAGUGCACUCGAUACUGCGUAGCUUGAGUACCGGAGAGGUUGGUGGAAUUCUCGGUGUAGAGGUGAAAUUCGUAGAUAUUGGGAAGAACACCGGUGGCGAAGGCGGCUCACUGGCUCAUUACUGACGCUCAGGCGCGAUAGCGUGGGGAUCAAACAGG
rnacentral:rRNA from 1 species